rnacentral:rRNA from 1 species
GAAGGGGAGUAACACGAGGGAACCUAGCCCAUAAGAAGGAUAAAAAACUUGGAAAAGGUGCAAAUACCGUAUAACACUAUUUUCCGCAUGGAAGAAAGUGAACGGCGCUUUUGCCUCACUGAUGCAUGGACCCGUGGUGCAUUAAUAGUUGGCGAGGUAACGGCUCACCAAGGCAACGACGCAUAGCCGACCUGAGAGGCUGAUCGGCCACUCAGAGACUGASACACGGCCCAGACUCCUAAGGGAGGCAGAAGUUGGGAAACUUCGGCAAUGGAAAAAAGUCAGACCGAGCAACGC